GUCGACGUAACACAACGGUAGUGCGCCGGAUACCUGCACCGGGGGAUCCAGUGUUCAAUCCCUGGCGCCGACC